GCUUGCUUCUCUUGAGAGCGGCGGACGGGUGAGUAAUGCCUAGGAAUCUGCCUGGUAGUGGGGGAUAACGCUCGGAAACGGACGCUAAUACCGCAUACGUCCUACGGGAGAAAGCAGGGGACCUUCGGGCCUUGCGCUAUCAGAUGAGCCUAGGUCGGAUUAGCUAGUUGGUGAGGUAAUGGCUC
rnacentral:rRNA from 1 species